ACACACAGAGACAUUAAAUGGUGGCCCCUCUAAAGCUCUAUCACCUGGAACCUGUGAAUAUGACCUUACUUAGUUAGGACCAUGGUAUUUGCUGUAAUUCAUGAAGGAUCUUGCGAUCAUCUUGAAUUUCCCAGGUGGCCCUUGAAUCCAAUGACAAGUGACUUAUAACGGGCAGAAGAGGAGAAGCCACAGAAGAGCAGAAGGCUGGUGGAGACAGAGGCAGAGAUUUCAGUGAUGCAGCCACAAGCCAAGGAAGGGAUGCCUGGACCCACCAGAAGCUGGAAGAGGCGAGAAGGAUUCUCCCUGAUGCCUUCAGAGGGAUCAGGGCCCUGCUAACACCGAUUUCAGACUUCUGGCCUCCAGAACUGUUAUUACAAGCUAUUGAAUAUAGUUCCCUAUACUAUAUGUAACCAUCAGCUGGUUUUCCGUGCCUGUGAGCCUUAGAGAUGAUCACGCUAGCAGACUUUUGAAGAGAACAGCACCUGCUCUCGGCCUGCGGUCCCAGGCCACAGGGUGCGGCCGUUUCAGUGCCAGCGUGUCGACCGCCGUGUGGAUGUCGCUGGCGUAGGCUGGGUUUUUCCACCGUUAACUGGACGAGAACUUGUUCCUUACAUACACUUUUGCUUGUACAAGUGCUGGCUUCUGCCCACACGAGCAACUCCAAACCCCAAACUCACCUCAGAACUUCUCUGAACUAGUUUUCCACCUUAAAUGAUGCUACCUUUUCAUGUAAACCCUGGGCUGUUGUCUUUACUACUCCAUUGCCUGAAGAAAAAGUUACCUUAAAGUAUUUUUCCUGCCACAUCAGCUAUAAGGCUGUAAUGAGACUUUGGGAGGGGCAGCUAAAAAGCCAAUACCUGAUGGCAGUUAAGAAAGGAUUUUAUUGACGUGGUGAUCACUCAGUCACCUGAAAACAACUCCACUGAAGCGCCUUGGUGUGGCCGCAUCACGUGCCCUUCCAACUGCUCUCUGCACUUCAUAUCACCUGGACCUCUGUCACCUCAACGGAAUUGGCAAAACUCUCAGGGGCAGCACUGUAAUUGCGGCCACCUAAUUUUUAUCCAUGUCCUUAAUUGCUCCGGCCAUUGGCACCAUAUGUGUCAGCCCACAAGGAACAACGUCAGUAUCAUUUGCUGCAACAUGAUCCUCGCUCCAGGUGGUUUCAUGGCAAGAUGAACAAAGGCGAAUGAGAAAGUAAUUUAUUUUUUAAAAACCAGAAUGCCAGUUUACUAAUGGACAGUUAGAAUUGUAACUGUCACACAGACUAAAAUAUGCAUCAGUAAGAGUUGGGCUGAUAGGAAUAUUCUGGUCUGUGUGACAGUUAUGAUUGUUAUUGUAGCUUAUGAGUUUGUUAGCGUGUAGGCUGGUGUAUAAGGAAAGCCAACUUUCAUCCAAAGAGUGAGUAAAGGAAAAAUUUUAAUUUGAACAUUAGUAGUAUCAGGCUGAUAAAAUCUGGGGC